rnacentral:rRNA from 1 species
UACGUAGGGUGCGAGCGUUAAUCGGACUUACUGGGCGUAAAGUGUGCGCAGGCGGCCGCGCAAGUCGAGUGUGAAAUCCCCGAGCUUAACUUGGGAAUUGCGCUCGAAACUACGUGGCUGGAGUGUGGCAGAGGAAGGUGGAAUUCCUGGUGUAGCAGUGAAAUGCGUAGAUAUCAGGAGGAACACCGAUGGCGAAGGCAGGUCUCUGGGCUGACACUGACGCUCAUGCACGAAAGCGUGGGGAGCAAACAGG